rnacentral:rRNA from 1 species
AGUUCCCUACGGGGCGCAGCAGUGGGGAAUAUUGCACAAUGGGGGAAACCCUGAUGCAGCAACGCCGCGUGAAGGAAGACGGUUUUCGGAUUGUAAACUUCUGUUCUUAGUGAAGAAGAAUGACGGUAGCUAAGGAGCAAGCCACGGCUAACUACGUGCCAGCAGCCGCGGUAAUACGUAGGUGGCAAGCGUUGUCCGGAAUUACUGGGUGUAAAGGGAGCGCAGGCGGGAAGCCAAGGCAGCUGUGAAAACUACGGGCCUAACUUGUAGACUGCAGUUGAAACUGGUUUUCUU